AAUAAGUACGGUUCCACACUGAUCAUGUUUAAUAUUUGACUGUUUGUCUUAUUUAAAAAACCUUUUAUGAUUAGUAUUUUUAUUGUUAUUAGAUGAUAAAACAUGAAUGGUACGUUAUGUGUCUAAUUCUUCUUAGUUUUUUUUAUAAAUUUUUCAAAUAAAACGGACAGUCAAGCAUUGGAUACAGAUAUUUACAACUAUGCUUAUU
rnacentral:pre_miRNA from 1 species